UGAGCUCCCCGAGGGCAGGGCCC
rnacentral:miRNA from 15 species